AUACAGCAAUGGCCCCCACACCUGGAAGGACUCAGGCUCUGAAUCCAGCACCUUCAGGAAUCAAGUGAGGGCACCCCAGAGGCCCUAUGCUUGAGGGAGACUGACGAAAACAGGUGGAUCUAGGUAAAAUCAGUCUCUGCUACCCUCCUCAUCUAAACCCUCAGCGCAGGGCCACCUUGGAAGCCAUGUGUUAACACUGAGUGAUCCUCAUCAGCCAAGUCCCUAAUGCAUGGAAAAGAACCUCCUGACCCCAGUCCCCACAGACAGGACUUUUCCUUUGCAAGAAAUAAGGAUGGUAAAGUUAACCAUAAACAACAAAGUCAUGGAGUCAAGCUGUCACAAUUGACCACCAUUCCUAAGGCAUUUGAAUUGUAUGUAUUGACAGGAAAAAGCAGGAAGGAGUGAAGACAGAAGAUGGGGAGAAUGUAACCUGAGUUGGAAGGUGUAAUAUUUAAAUGUAUUUGCAAACCUGGUUUGGGCCAAAAGGGGUAGGAGGAAGAGAAGAAGCAUUUGCUGAGAUCUAUUAUAUGCCAAUUGGAGGACUACAAAAUUCACAAUUCACAUCUGUUGUCUUAUUUCUUUCUCAUAAUCCCAAAGAUAAUUCUAAAGGUACACAUUAUUGUCUUCAUUUACAAUUAAGAAUUGAUGCUCCAAGAAGAAAGAUCUCACAGUGUGUAGGCAACAGACCUGGGAUUCAAACCUAUAUUGGUGGGUGUUAAUGUCCUUGUUCUUUCUGAUGUAAGCAUGUAACCUUUCCACAUCUCUGAUUCUGUGCUCAAGGUGGGCCAAGGCAUGCUGCUUGUAAGACAGGGUUCCUGUGAUGACACAAGUCAUUAAUGCAAGUGUUAAGUGCCAUGCAUGCACAGAAGCCACUUAAAAUGGGUUUUCGGAAAUGAAAGCUGGGCUCAAACAGAGCCCACUUUCAAGGGGGCCUGGUUUAAGUGGCCAAACUCUCAAGAAGAAAGGCAUUAAAGGAAGAGCCUUUCUGCUGGGCUGGCAAAACUUUAGGUUCAUGAAUUCAGGAGGAGACUGAGGAGGAGAAAACAGCGUUUUAGAAUGCAGCCUCAGGAGCUGCCUGCACCUCUCAGGCCAGGAGGUUGGCUUUUCCAAUUGUGCGAUUCAGCUAUUCUACCCAGCCCCAUCUCUCAUUUUCAAUUAAUCUGCACUAAUGAAUUCAACAACCAAAAUGCAUUUGCUAAUUGAGGUGCUUGCUGGCCAGGUCAUCCCCACUCCCUUGUCUGACAGCUGGUUCUCCCCACUGUACCAGGGUAAAGUAGGGUAGUAGAGGUUUCUGCUCUCCUCAUCCCCUGCUGCCCCUGAGGGGAAUACCCAGUGGGCAAGAGAAGGCCCAGCCUGGGAGAGAAUGCUCAUAAUAUAUUACUAAGUCACAGACAGAAAUUGCUCCUCCGGGCACAGUCUUUCACUUUUUGUUUCCAAGUGAAAGCUCAUGACCAUCCCAGCCAUGUUAUCUCCCUGGCCCUUGGAAGCUGUCAUGUAAUGGAAAGGGCAUUAAACUCAGGCCAGGAAAUUCUUGAUACAGAACCCAGACUGUUGUUUAUAACUGGGUUGACUUUGGAAAGUGACUGCCUCCCUCUCAGUUUGCCCAUCUGGAAAAUGAAACUAAUGGAACUG